rnacentral:lncRNA from 1 species
CAUCCUGUCUCACCAAAACAACCCCAGCUAAGAAGUUCCGUCGGGGGUGGAGGACUUUUUCCAAGCCUUUGUUUCUGUGGAGUCUCUGUGCAUGGCCUGCUGUGAUGAGGAUGGCUCUUAGAGUCCACAGUGUGCUAUUCAGGCCAUGACACAGGUGAAUUACCUGUGCAGGUGUGAACAACCAAAUGACCAGUGAACACAUGUAACUAAUACUCAACUGACCAGCAUCAGUGCACUGGAAAAGAAUCCGAGAUUGGACAAUGGAGCCCUCUUUUAACCCCUAUGAAUGUCAUGGAUGUGGGGACAGACUGGAGGACUGGAGCAAGUCAAAUAUGUUUAGUGACAUUGCUGAAGUCAGAACCGAAGCAGAAAAACUGUAUAUAAUUUUAAAGAGUCCUCAAAGCCCAGCACUCUUGACUUUCAAUCUUUUUAUGGAUUCUUUGAAGAAAUGCCGUAUAAUCAGUGCUCGUGGAUGAAUGCACAGAGGAUGAUAGAGCAUGGAAAAACCCCAAACAUUGAUGAGUCUGAAUUGAACAGUGAUUCAGAAGAAUUGGACUCAGUGUAAAGUAGUUUGAGGAAUAACAACCAAGUUAUUUCACUUGUAUUUUCAUUUUUAUGUAUGCACAAUAGUAAUAUGUGAUAAAAAUCUGUCUAAUUAAGUCUCAAAGAACUCUUACAAUAAGUAAAAUUAAAAAUUCUAAAUGAUAAGAAUGCAUUGUGUCAUGGUUUAAUUGGCAGUGUAUUUUUCUUUCACAGGGGAACAAAAAAUAAUGGUGCUUCUUGCAAUUGUGUUUCUCAGAGGUGAUGAAAUGUG